rnacentral:lncRNA from 1 species
CUAACAUGUUUUGCAAUCCACGCAGUAGAGCCUGGGCAGAGACUCGUGCACCUUUGCACUCUGAUAAGGAGAAUAUUAUUGGUCUACUAGUGGCCUAGCCAGAUAAGAGGUUUGGGGCGGGCAGUCUGCGGUUUUUUUUCCUCAAGCUCUCAUUAUUCUGCACCAGUAUCUCCAGAUGCUGUUCGUGGGGAACUAAGCUGCUUUCUAUCUAAAACUGCAAAGAGUGAUGGAGAGUUUAAGCAAAGACCUUGCCUAUUCGGACUCAUCCCAGCCACCCUCUGCAAACAGGGAGGAGUAUGCCGUGCCAGAUGUCAGCAUCACCCGUCGCUUGAGAGACCGGGAAAUGCUCCGGAAAAGAAGAGCUGAAGCCCACGAGAAAGACUCAGUUCAGUGGGUUCUGAGGGAUUUCAAGAAGAUCAAACAGCAAAAGAGAAGCAGAGGAGGCAGGCGAGGACGAGGCCGCCAGCCUGUGAUGGAGCCCAGACAGGAGCCAGAACUGGAGCUGGACCCCCAGCCCAAGCCGCAGGAGGAGGCUGAGCCAGUGCCCUCCAAUCCAGCACCGCCUGAGCUGGUGCAUCAAUUGCCCGUGCUGACAAUCCAGGACCUGGUCAGUGAGAUGGAACUGGGAGCGGCAGAGGGGGAGCAGGGAGCCAUGAUCGAGGAUCCUGUGGGCCUUGUAGGUGAAGAAGACCUGCUGAAACCAGCAGAAGCAGAAAUACCAGAAGCUUUGAAUAUUCCUCUGGAAAAUGAAUACCGGGAUGAUGAGUCCAGCACAGAUAUUCUAUUUUAAUUUGCUGUUGGUUUUUUUUUUUUCCAAUGGUUCUACUCCUGCAUGAUAAACUCCAAUAAGUACUGGACCAGCUCUUUCCUUGUGAGUAAUAAAGCCCGCACUUUCCUGAUUGCUCUGCUUUCUAUGCUUCUUUCAGGUUACGAUGAGGGGGAACGUGGUUGCUUGCAUAAAGGCAGUCCUUUCCGAGGUGCCUGCUGCCUGGGGUCCAUGAGGCCCCCCCCAACCCUCUCUGGCAGCAGGCUGUUCCACCUAGGUGGUGGUCCCAUGGAGGGCUGCACAGUGCCCCACCACGCUGCAGUUUAAGCGUACAGACCAGCGUCCCUCCAUGCUUCUGAAAGGCAUUUCUGAUUUGCAGAAAUGCAAGUGGCAUUGUGAAGCUGAAUCCCACCAUGAUUUUUAGCUCGCUGGAGCAGCCCAGCUUGGGCUUUUUCCUGCACCUGAUAAAUCCUACAACCCCUUGUGUUAUUAUCUUCAGUCUGAACAUCUUUCUCACAGUCUGUUCUCCUCCUUGGUAAACAGCUUGCUUUCCUAAAGCCUGGAAAGCAUUUUGUUUC